rnacentral:rRNA from 1 species
AUUGAACGCUGGCGGCAUGCCUUACACAUGCAAGUCGAACGGUAACGGGCCUUCGGGUGCCGACGAGUGGCGAACGGGUGAGUAAUACAUCGGAACGUGCCCGAUCGUGGGGGAUGACGAGGCGAAAGCUUUGCUAAUACCGCAUACGAUCUACGGAUGAAAGCAGGGGACCGCAAGGCCUUGCGCGGACGGAGCGGCCGAUGGCAGAUUAGGUAGUUGGUGGGAUAAAAGCUUACCAAGCCGACGAUCUGUAGCUGGUCUGAGAGGAUGAUCAGCCACACUGGGACUGAGACACGGCCCAGACUCCUACGGGAGGCAGCAGUGGGGAAUUUUGGACAAUGGGCGCAAGCCUGAUCCAGCCAUGCCGCGUGCAGGAUGAAGGCCUUCGGGUUGUAAACUGCUUCUGUACGGAACGAAAAGCCUUCUUUUAAUACAGGAGGGUCAUGACGGUACCGUAAGAAUAAGCACCGGCUAACUACGUG